CAGGAGUUUCGUUCUCGAGCCGUUUUCCGUCUGCGUCCCGGCGCCACCAGACGUCCUCCUAUCGCCAGCUGAAGCAGGAGUGCAUGAAGUUCGGUUCUCGAACCAUCAGGUCCCGGUGCCACCAGACGUCCUCCUUUCGCCAGCUGAAGCAGGGCAAAGCUUCACACGGACCAAAGAGCAAACUAGGACACAGGAGCCUGGAAGCGAACCGCCAUUGGCCAGCGUCGGCUCAUC